rnacentral:lncRNA from 1 species
AUAAAUCUUUAAAAAAAAAAAAAAAAAAAAAAACAAACGACCCCUUCAAAAAGAAGUGGGCUAUGGGAAUAGAAGUUUGGUCCAAUGCAGACAUAAUAUAAGCUUUUAACUGCUGAGCCAGCUCUCCAGCUUAAAUUUGCUUAUUCUCAAGCACUACCAAUCAGAUAAAUCAUCAAAGAGUGAGAACUCUUGAUAUAAAUAUAAGGCAGUUAAGGCUAGAAACAGGCUUAUGAUGGGCUCCUGUUCAUUCAUGGAUCUAUGGAGGGACAGGAAUGGACAGAUAAACCUGCUGGGCUUCCAGAGGAUUAUAUUUGGUUUCUAUAGUUCCCUUUGUGUAAGCUAAAUAAAACUCUUUUGAGACAGUGUGUAUCCCCUAGCUAUUCUGUUUCCUAAAUGCUAAUUUUAAAGACGGGCACCAACAUUUCUGUUCCCCACUCCCAAUGGAAUUCUUGAAUGUGCUUUGAAUAAUAGAAUCUAUCUUGGUGUUUUGUUUUGUUUUUUUAAGCAGAUUAACAAAAAAGCUUGAAGAAAGGAGAGAAGAGAAGAGGAAGGAAGAGGCCCAGAGAGAGAUUAAGAAGGAAAUUGAAAGGAGAAAAACUGGAAAGGAAAUGUUGGAUUAUAAAAGAAAACAAGAAGAAGAAUUAACAAAAAGAAUGUUA